UACAGAGGGUGCUAGCGUUGUUCGGAAUCAUUGGGCGUAAAGGGCGUGUAGGCGGUUUGCUAAGUCAUGUGUGAAAUCCCUCGGCUUAACCGGGGAACGACGCAUGAAACUGGCAGCUAGAGUACCAAAGAGGGGGUGGAAUUCCCGGGUGUAGCGGUGAAUGCGUAGAUAAUCGGGAGGAACACCUGUGGCGGAAGGCGACCCCCUGG
rnacentral:rRNA from 1 species